GAAGAUGCUAAGAGUUAUCAAAUGAUAUACUACACAUAUACAUAAGGGAAUGUAUGGACGUGUAUAAUGUUUAUGUAUGCAUGAGAAUUUGCAAGUCCUAAUUUAACUCUUUCCCAAACAAGAAAUUCUAGAGACACACAUUACAAGGAAGAAGUCCAUCUUUCAUGGAAAAAGGUUACAUAAGAAUUUUGGGAAAGAAGACAUAUCUACUUUACAAAAGCUAUCCUACAUAGAGAGCUAUAAAGGGGCAAGGAAACAAUUGCCAUAACUACACAAAUCCUUGAGGAUUUUCUCCACACCCAUCUCGAUUCCAUACACCACUCUAUGCCAAGAGGUCAAUUUGUAGUCUACUAGAGAUAGCCAAGAGGUCAAUUUGUAGUCUACUAGAGAUAGCAUGAGUUGUCCUUCCACCUGCCAAGGAAAUUCCCAAAAAUAGUUAGAUUUCUUCUUCAACAAAAACAAGGGAAAAUGUUAUUCAAGAAAAUGGUAAGAAGCCAUCUAAGAUCUUGCAAGAGUGUCUGUCACUACUCUCCUACAAAGCAAGCCAAGAAGGAGACAAGGAAUGAGAUAUCCCAAAUCUUUCCAAAGUGGAAGUAAUGACAAUUGGAUGGAGAAUGGUGAGAUCAUCUCCUUAACCAAAAGAGUGAAAGUCCUUUUCUCCCACAUGAGCAAUUAAGGAACGAGAUCAUCAAGUAUAACUCUUUCCAAGAUUUUCAUCAAGAAGGCAAGAAGGACUUUUUAACAAAUUCAAAAGAAAGAUGAACAACUAGCUCAAAGUAGCAAGUUAUACUCCCAUAAACUUGCCACAAAAGGACAAAGAAUCGGCUAUAUAAACAGCACCAAUCCACAUUUCCUUCACCCUCUUUAUCACUUACAAAAUUUCAUCGGAGAAUCAGCAAGGAGUGAGAGGAGAUGGAGGAAGUACUCGAACAUCACAACAAUUAAGGAAUCACCAAAGCAAGGCUAUUUUUGGCUCGGAGGCAAAGUAAGGCUGACGCAAGAAUUUUAAUUGAGGAGUAAACGUAUCAGAGCGCGCGAGGGUUGUGAGCCAUCCAAGAGGGUUGGCCGGCUAUGGUGUCCACGGAAGGUUGCCACCUUCCCGGCACGAUGGAACGAUGAAUGAUGAAUGAUGAAUGAUGAACGAUGGAAUGAUGAAUGAUGAAAGAACAUAGUAUGCGCAGAUGAACUUUUAGCUCACAAAAGAAUUUAGUAAGCUCGGGACUUUUAAGAAAAACCCAUGUGUGUUACUGUGAUGGAUGACAACUAUAUAUAUGAUGUAUGUUUUGAUUUUCGACAAGUGUCCACUGAGUACUCUUGUACUCAUCCCUGCAUGUAUUUAUAAAUGUGCAAAUUAAGAAAUGGGUGGAGGCAUGCUGAUCAGAGUCGAUGCUACUUAAGUAAAUAAGUGUGGAUCUUUUGAUGCUUCGUGUCUUCAUACGCGAAGUCGUUUUCUGGACUUUUUCCGCUGCAGUUUGUUAAGAGAGAAUAGUGAACUCUCAUCAUCGUAACUCUGAUUCAUUUUGAUGAAAUGCUAUUGUCAUUUAAAUCCUUGUAAUCGAAUACUUGGAUGAUAUCUUAUGAUAUUGUUUGACUUUUCAAUGUGCAAGUUCUAUUAUCAUUUCUUCCCUAUUUCUUUAAAUCCUUUUAUUACUCGCGGUUUACCCGCUUUCGCUAUCCUUAGCAAAAUGCGAUCGUGACAAAAGAUAUAUUUAUAUAUAUAGGGUUUUCAUCUACCAAAAUAAGUCCCUAAGUAUAGAAAUACAGACCAUAUAUGGACCGUUAGAUUCGGACAUUAAUGGCGACGAUCUAGAAUGACUCCUCGUUUUUGUUGGGUCAUAAUAAGAUGGAUUUGUGUCAUGUGAGGGGUAAAUUAGGAAUCAAAAAAACUAGGAACCGUUGUUCCAUUUUUUUAGUGCGGAUUAAUUGGGAGUCAUUACUCCACACGCUAAACUCUUCCACUUUCCCUCAAAUCUUCUUCUUCUUCCACAAAAUCAAGAAAAUCCCUACCUCCACACAAAGCGGCUACUCCACAAAAUUGGCUACUCUACAAAAACCUUCAUCCUAAUUUUCGAUUCUGAAAUCGACGAGGAGGGGGAACCAAAAGCCUACUUCAACAAUGGUCGACACUCGAGCUUCUGGAUCGGCGAGGCAUGACGGAAAAGUGUAUCAGAGAAUGACGGUGAUGAAGAAGAUACCGCCGAUCCCAAAAGCACCGAAAGGAUUUUAGAUUACCACUAUUUUAAUGAAACGAUGUUUAGAGCUUGUAAUUCUCGUUUUUUAAACCAUGUUUAUAUGUC